ACAACUCCGACUCUACAUCGACUGAAUAUGCGGUUUCGACUCUUCAUCGACCAACCGAACAAACUACACCAACCUAUUGCCGACUGACCGACUAAUGAUUCAAUUACUACCGAUCGACAGUGGAUGACUUAAACCAUCGGCAUAACAGAACUACUAGCCGAUGGUCGCUUAUGAAUUCUACUGACAUAUGGUCGGUUCUACCGAUAUAUGAUCGGUCAGUCAACUCAGAUAUACCAUAACCAUCAUGAACGGUUACCGACCGUAUAUC
rnacentral:lncRNA from 1 species